rnacentral:rRNA from 1 species
CAGCUAGGAAUCUUGGGAAUGGGCGAAAGCCUGACCCAGCAACGCCGCGUGGGCGAUGAAGGCCUUCGGGUUGUAAAGCCCUUUUGCAGGGGAAGAUGAUGACGGUACCCUGCGAAUAAGCCACGGCUAACUACGUGCCAGCAGCCGCGGUAAUACGUAGGUGGCGAGCGUUGUCCGGAUUUACUGGGCGUAAAGGGCGUGCAGGCGGCCUGUUAAGUCUAGGGUGAAAGCUCCCGGCUCAACUGGGAGAGGUCCUUGGAUACUGGCGGGCUUGAGGGAGGUAGAGGAGAAUGGAAUUCCCGGUGUAGUGGUGAUAUGCGUAGAUAUCGGGAGGAACACCUGUGGCGAAGGCGGUUCUCUGGGCCUUACCUGACGCUGAGACGCGAAAGCGUGGGGAGCGAACCGGAUUAGAUACCCGGGUAGUCCACGCCGUAAACUAUGGACACUAGGUGUGGGGGGUAUCGACCCCUUCCGUGCCGAAGCUAACGCAAUAAGUGUCCCGCCUGGGGAGUACGGCCGCAAGGCUA